GUCAAACAACAAAAUAAUACAUUCUCACAAAAUAAUGCUUAAUCAAAAUAAAUUUGGAGGAAUAUGAAUUAAUUUGCCACUCAGAAAUACAAGCAUGCGGUUUAUCUUAAAAGAAUUGUUACUUUGGUAACCAAUGUAAGUUAAAAUUAUAAAGCAAUUCCUUCCAUUUAAAACUUCUCAAUCACUUCUUUGUUCAGACCAUGUUAUGUUUUACUUUUGUUAUACUUUAACAAUAAAGUUUAAAUGUUACUGUUUUAGUUAUUGAAUUAAACUUUUCUGCUCUUUAUUCUAUUUCUUUGUGUAUAAAGAAAAUCAACAUGGUACUGUACACAUUAACCGCACAAUUCUACGUAUAUAAAUGAAAAUAUUUUGUUUGAAACUUUAUUAAAAUGAACAAGGCUGCUUAUCAAUAACAGGUUACCCUUAAAAGUAACUUUAAGGAGGUCACUGAGCUUACUGAACAACAUCAGCACAAAACAUUAGAACCCUGAAUGAAGUACCCAAAUAUUAACCCAUUAUACAUGUCUAAGUGUAACCACCAAAAAAAAGAUAUACCAACAAAUUUUCAAAAAAAUUAAAACCACCUGCCUACCACAAGCAAAUACCUGGGUAGGGGUAUGAAGAAACAAAGAUUCUAUUAAUUGCAAGCUAAGCCAUGAUGUUUUGCUGAAUUCUAAUAAAAUAAAAUAUCCUUUCAAGAGAUCAAACAAAAUAUCAUAUGAAGAGAUCAUAAUAAAAUAUCGAUAUUUUUACUUUAAAAACAUGAUUUUUAAGUUUUGACUUCUGGGGACCACUUUUAUGUCUUGAAGUGUAUUUUAACAGCUAUGACAGUAGAAUAAUAUGUUAAAAGUAAGAAUGAAUGCUUAGGAUUGAUUUGAAGUGAAAUUAAAUGCAAAUGAUUAGUGUAAAGUAAAAAUGAACACUUAUAAUUGGUGUGACAUGUAAAUGAAUGCUUAUGAUUGGUGUGAUGUAUAAAUGAAUGAUGAUUGGUGUGAAGUGAAAAUGAAUGUUAAUGAUUGGUGUGAAGUGUAAAUGAAGACUUGUGAUUGGUGUGAAGUGUAAAUGAACGCUUAUGAUUGGUGUUAAGUGAAAAUGAACGCUAAUGAUUAGUGUGAAGUGUAAAUGAAUGCUUAUGAUUAGUCAAGUAAAAAUGAACGCUUAUGAUUGGUGUGACAUGUAAAUGAACGCUUAUGAUUGGUGCGACAUGUAAAUGAGCACUUAUGAUUGGUGUGAAGUGAAAAUGAAUGCUUAUAUUUGGUGUGAGGUGAAAAUUAAUCCUUAUGAUUGGUGUUAAGUGAAAAUGAACGCUAAUGAUUAGUGUGAAGUGUAAAUGAAUGCUUAUGAUUAGUCAAGUAAAAAUGAACGCUUAUGAUUAGUGUGAAGUGAAAAUGAACGCUUGUGAUUGGUGUGACAUGUAAAUGAACGCUUAUGAUUGGUGCGACAUGUAAAUGAGCACUUAUGAUUGGUGUGAAGUGAAAAUGAAUGCUUAUAUUUGGUGUGAGGUGAAAAUUAAUCCUUAUGAUUGA
rnacentral:lncRNA from 1 species